rnacentral:tRNA from 1 species
GACGGGACAGGGAUUCUGGUAGGGAGCAGACCUUUAAGAUAGGUGCUUAAGCCUGCUAAGUCUGUGGCCUUCGGGCCUCGUGGGUUCAAAUCCCUCUCCCGGCGCCA